GUGUGCAUCUCAUUGCAACUCAGUACAUAUAGCGAAUCCCCACUAACAUGACCCUUCUGCAUUGGAUAGAGUGGGAAAUAAUGUAAAACUGUGUACUUCUAAUCCUUGCUGGACUACAACUCUCAUCAACCUCAGUCAGUGGCAAGUUAAGGAUAAUAGAAACUUACUGUACCCUCACUUUGUCUCUGGUGACCUAGGAGGGGGAAGGACUGAC